GACGAACGCUGGCGGCGUGCUUAACACAUGCAAGUCGAACGGAAAGGCCCCGCUUUUGUGGGGUGCUCGAGUGGCGAACGGGUGAGUAACACGUGAGUAACCUGCCCUUGACUUUGGGAUAACUCCAGGAAACUGGGGCUAAUACCGGAUAGGAGCUCCUGCUGGAUGGUGGGGGUUGGAAAGUUUCGGCGGUUGGGGAUGGACUCGCGGCUUAUCAGCUUGUUGGUGGGGUAGUGGCUUACCAAGGCGUUGACGGGUAGCCGGCCUGAGAGGGUGGCCGGCCACAUUGGGACUGAGAUACGGCCCAGACUCCUACGGGAGGCAGCAGUGGGGAAUAUUGCACAAUGGGCGGAAGCCUGAUGCAGCAACGCCGCGUGCGGGAUGACGGCCUUCGGGUUGUAAACCGCUUUCGCCUGUGACGAAGCGUGAGUGACGGUAAUGGGUAAAGAAGCACCGGCUAACUACGUG
rnacentral:rRNA from 1 species